rnacentral:rRNA from 1 species
GAUCCAGACUUUGAUCCUGGCUCAGGAUGAACGCUAGCUACAGGCUUAACACAUGCAAGUCGAGGGGAAACGACAUCGAAAGCUUGCUUUUGAUGGGCGUCGACCGGCGCACGGGUGAGUAACGCGUAUCCAACCUGCCCAUCACUUGGGGAUAACCUUGCGAAAGUAAGACUAAUACCCAAUGACGUCCAUAGAAGACAUCUGAAAUGGAUUAAAGAUUUAUCGGUGAUGGAUGGGGAUGCGUCUGAUUAGCUUGUUGGCGGGGUAACGGCCCACCAAGGCGACGAUCAGUAGGGGUUCUGAGAGGAAGGUCCCCCACAUUGGAACUGAGACACGGUCCAAACUCCUACGGGAGGCAGCAGUGAGGAAUAUUGGUCAAUGGGCGAGAGCCUGAACCAGCCAAGUAGCGUGCAGGAUGACGGCCCUAUGGGUUGUAAACUGCUUUUAUAAGGGAAUAAAGUGAGUCUCGUGAGGCUUUUUGCAUGUACCUUAUGAAUAAGGACCGGCUAAUUCCGUGCCAGCAGCCGCGGUAAUACGGAAGGUCCGGGCGUUAUCCGGAUUUAUUGGGUUUAAAGGGAGCGUAGGCCGGAGAUUAAGCGUGUUGUGAAAUGUAGACGCUCAACGUCUGCACUGCAGCGCGAACUGGUUUCCUUGAGUACGCACAAAGUGGGCGGAAUUCGUGGUGUAGCGGUGAAAUGCUUAGAUAUCACGAAGAACUCCGAUUGCGAAGGCAGCUCACUGGAGCGCAACUGACGCUGAAGCUCGAAAGUGCGGGUAUCGAACAGGAUUAGAUGCCCUGGUAGUCCGCACGGUAAACGAUGGAUGCCCGCUGUUGGUCUGAAUAGGUCAGCGGCCAAGCGAAAGCAUUAAGCAUCCCACCUGGGGAGUACGCCGGCAACGGUGCAACUCAAAG